rnacentral:rRNA from 1 species
GAAAGCGUAGGUAGCGAACAGGAUUAGAUACCCUGGUAGUCUACGCCGUAAACGAUGGUUACUAGCUGUUCGGGCAAAUUGAUGUCUGAGUGGCUAAGCGAAAGUGAUAAGUAACCCACCUGGGGAGUACGUUCGCAAGGUUAAAACUCAAAUGAAUUGACGGGGGCCCGCACAAGCGGUGGAGCAUGUGGUUUAAUUCGAUGCAACGCGAAGAACCUUACCUACUCUUGACAUCCUGCGAACGUGUGAGAGAUCACUUGGUGCCUUCGGGAGCGCAGAGACAGGUGCUGCAUGGCUGUCGUCAGCUCGUGUUGUGAAAUGUUGGGUUAAGUCCCGUAACGAGCGCAACCCUCGUCCUUAUUUGCCAGCACGUAAUGGUGGGAACUCUAAGGAGACUGCCGGUGACAAACCGGAGGAAGGUGGGGACGACGUCAAGUCAUCAUGGCCCUUACGAGUAGGGCUACACACGUGCUACAAUGGCCGGUACAAAGGGCAGCGAGCUCGCGAGAGUCAGCGAAUCCCUUAAAGCCGGUCUCAGUCCGGAUCGGAGUCUGCAACUCGACUCCGUGAAGUCGGAAUCGCUAGUAAUCGUGCAUCAGAAUGGCACGGUGAAUACGUUCCCGGGCCUUGUACACACCGCCCGU